UACGAAGGGGGCUAGCGUUGUUCGGAAUUACUGGGCGUAAAGCGCACGUAGGCGGACAUUUAAGUCAGGGGUGAAAUCCCAGAGCUCAACUCUGGAACUGCCUUUGAUACUGGGUGUCUUGAGUAUGGAAGAGGUGAGUGGAAUUCCGAGUGUAGAGGUGAAAUUCGUAGAUAUUCGGAGGAACACCAGUGGCGAAGGCGGCGAGCUGGUCCAUUACUGACGCUGAGGCGCGACAGCGUGGGGAGCAAACAGG
rnacentral:rRNA from 1 species